GACGAACGCUGGCGGCGUGCCUAAUACAUGCAAGUCGAGCGAAGCGGCGGAUGGGUGAGUAACGCGUGGGUAACCUGCCCUUAAGUCUGGGAUACCAUCUGGAAACAGAUGCUCAUCGCGGAUACUAAAGGAUGGACCUGCGAUUCAUUAGCUAGUGGGUAAGGUAACGGCUUACCAAGGCGAUGAUGCAUAGCCGAGUUGGGAGACUGAUCGGCAACAUUGGGACUGAGAAACGGCCCAAACUCCUACGGGAGGCAGAAGUAGGGAAUCUUCCACAAUGGACGAAAGUCUGAUGGAGCAACGCCGGGUGAGUGAAGAGGGUUUUCGGAUCGUAAAGCUCUGUUGUUGGUGAAGCGUUCAUCAACAAGAAAGUCACGGCUAAUUACGGGCCAGCAGCCGCGGUAAUU
rnacentral:rRNA from 1 species